rnacentral:lncRNA from 1 species
UACAGGCCAACACAGAUCUUUGUCUCUAGCAGGAAAAAAACCCCCUCAGCAAUGAAAAGCUUUCAGUUUCAGAUAACCGGUUGCUCAUUGAGAAAAACAUCUUUGCAACCCACAUCAUAGCUACAUGUCACUGCUCACGUAGCCUGUUGUCCCACAGUUGAGUUCUGCUUGAUAGCUCUGGUAGGAAAGGAUCCAACAUAUGGCCACAAGAUUGCUUCACUUUGGAUGAGUGCAGCCAAAGCCGGCUGACUCACACCCACUGUGCUGUAGAAGAAGCCAAAAGACCAGCUGAACUCACAGGGAAAGACUCCCAAGGGCUGACCUUGGCAAAAGCCCUGAGGGAAUCAAUCACACAAAAGCUUUGGAAACAGCACCUUUGGGCCCAGCCCAUCAUUAUGACGUGGGUGGUCCAGUUCAUAUGAGUGCCUUUUUCAUGUGGUUGGCUUCUAGGAUUUUGAGCAUGCCCAUACUGAAGCAAUUGUCCGAGUGGGCCAUCAUAGUUCCAAAUGUACUCAACUGGAGAAAGCAGCCUAGGGCUCUACAGGAAAAGCCCUCAUCCAUUAAGCUAUUUACAGCUGUUAAUGAAGGUCAGCUAUUUGUCCCACGGAGGGAAAUCUAUGCUUAUAUUACUUCACAACAAUAAUGUACAGGAAGAAUAAAGCAUUGGUAAGUUUCCCUGGUAAAUCA